GAUGAACGCUGGCGGCGUGCCUAAUACAUGCAAGUCGAACGAACAGACCCUGAUUUUGCUCCUUUGUCGUUUGCCGCACACGGGUGAGUAACACGUGUAUAAUCUCCCUAUCUUUCUGGUAUCUCUUCGGGAAACCGGCUCUUACCCCGUAUAAUCUCUUGCUCCACAUGGUUCAUUAGUGAAAUACGGUUUUGCUGGCACUACUCGAUGCAUCUGCGCUGCAUUAGCUAGUUGGUAAGGUCACGGCUUACCAAGGCAACGAUGCGUAGCCGACCUGAGAGGGGGAUAGGCCACACGGGAGGUGAAACGCGGACAAGGCGCCUAAGGGAGGCAGCAGUAGGGAAUGUGACGCAAUAGGCGAAAGCAUGACAGAGCGGCGCCGAGUGAGUGAUAGAGGUCUUCGGAUCGUAAAAAUCUGUUAUGAGGGAAAAACAAAUGUGGAAGUAAAUAUGCAGGGAGUGACGGUACCUAAUCAGAAAGCCACGGCUAACUACGUG
rnacentral:rRNA from 1 species